rnacentral:rRNA from 1 species
ACGCUGGCGGCGUGCCUAAUACAUGCAAGUCGAACGGUCUUUUCUAUGGAAGCUUGCUUCCACUGAGAAGAUAGUGGCGAACGGGUGAGUAACACGUGGGUAACCUGCCCAUAAGAGGGGGAUAACAUCCGGAAACGGGUGCUAAUACCGCAUAGUUUUUCUUGAUCGCAUGAUCGGGAAAGGAAAGACGGCCUUUGUGCUGUCGCUUAUGGAUGGACCCGCGGCGUAUUAGUUAGUUGGUGAGGUAACGGCUCACCAAGACGAUGAUACGUAGCCGACCUGAGAGGGUGAUCGGCCACAUUGGGACUGAGACACGGCCCAAACUCCUACGGGAGGCAGCAGUAGGGAAUCUUCCGCAAUGGACGAAAGUCUGACGGAGCAACGCCGCGUGAGUGAAGAAGGUUUUUCCGGAUCGUAAAACUCUGUUGUCAGAGAAGAACAAGUUGGAGAGUAACUGCUCCAGCCUUGACGGUAUCUGACCAGAAAGCCACGGCUAACUACGUGCCAGCAGCAGC